rnacentral:rRNA from 1 species
CCAGACUCCUACGGGAGGCAGCAGUGGGGGAUAUUGCACAAUGGGGGAAACCCUGAUGCAGCGACGCCGCGUGGGCGAAGAAGUAUUUCGGUAUGUAAAGCCCUAUCAGCAGGGAAGAAGAAAUGACGGUACCUGAGUAAGAAGCCCCGGCUAACUACGUGCCAGCAGCCGCGGUAAUACGUAGGGGGCGAGCGUUAUCCGGAUUCACUGGGUGUAAAGGGAGCGUAGACGGCCAUGCAAGCCAGGGGUGAAAGCCCGGGGCCCAGCCCCGGGACUGCCCUUGGAACUGCAUGGCUGGAGUGCGGGAGGGGCAGGCGGAAUUCCUGGUGUAGCGGUGAAAUGCGUAGAUAUCAGGAGGAACACCGGCGGCGAAGGCGGCCUGCUGGACCGCGACUGACGUUGAGGCUCGAAAGCGUGGGGAGCGAACAGGAUUAGAUACCCUCGUAA